UGCCUACCUGUAAAAAAAAAAAAAAAAAUCUGAUUUUUACAACAUCCAUCUAAUCUGACGUGUUGAUCUCUCCAGACCCCCCAGAGCUACAAUUCUCCCUUUGGGUGCUUCUGUGAUUAAUGCUCAGUUCAGGUGGACGGCCAUGUUUUGAGCCCUCAGGGAACAGGAGGAGAAGACAACAGUUCAAGUUGCGAGAUGAAACUCAGCACUGGGACAAAAGACAAUCAGCUCAAGCUGUGUCAUGUCUAGGGGAGAAGGAACAGGUGGUGAAGGGAAGAACGGAGGGUGAGAGGAUGGCUAGACGACAGGAAGAUUAGAAAAAAAAAGUCGACUUCUCAGACACUUAACAAUUCAGAGCUUUCUGUAGCAGUGUGUGAACUCUGUGACCUCAUCUAGCAGUCAGUGUGUUACAGAGGGAUGAAACAGAGCCUUGUCUGACCAAUAAAAGCCCCGCAACUGGACAACAACUGGACCGUUUAGAGGCAGGGCUGCAUCCAACAGGACUACAUUAAAAUAUACUUGUGUAUCAGAAUGGCCCAGUCAAAGCCCAAUUCUAAAUUUAACUGGAAUUCUAAGGCAAGAUAUAAAAAACUAAUGUUCACAGAUACACUUUUCCAAUAACAUUCAAGCACUUUUAAUGUAAGGUUUCAAACUUUUUCAGCACCACACUUUGGACAUAAAAAAAAAAAAA